rnacentral:rRNA from 1 species
UCUCGGUAUAUCUGCCCAGUGAAAAUUUAACGGCCGCAGUAUCCUAACUGUGCUAAGGUAGCAUAAUAAUUAGUUUUUUAAUUGGGAACUAGCAUGAAAGAAUCGACGAGAGACGUACUGUCUCGAUAAUUCUAUUUAACUUAUUUAGGGAGUAAAAAAACUCCCCCACUCUAAUAGGACGACAAGACCCUAUAAAACUUUACCUUUAAUCCAGAAUAGAUAGACCCACUACUGAGCAGAAGGUUUUGCUGGGGCGGUAAUCUUUAAUCUAAACAAACGAACACUUAAACAUUCUUUAUGAAUUUUACAAACACUCCUUAGAAAUCAAGAACAAGUUACUUUAGGGAUAACAGCGCAAUGCUUCUUUAGAGCCCCUAUCGACAGAAGCGUUUACGACCUCGAUGUUGAAUUGAAGACCCUCUACAGAGCAG